CCUACGGGAGGCAGCAGUGAGGAAUAUUGGUCAAUGGGCGCGAGCCUGAACCAGCCAAGUAGCGUGAAGGAUGACUGCCCUACGGGUUGUAAACUUCUUUUAUAAAGGAAUAAAGUGAGGCACGUGUGCCUCUUUGUAUGUACUUUAUGAAUAAGGAUCGGCAAACUCCGUGCCAGCAGCCGCGGUAAUACGGAGGAUCCGAGCGUUAUCGGGAUUUAUUGGGUUUAAAGGGUGCGUAGGCGGAAGGUUAAGUCAGUGGUCAAAUGUCGGUGCUCAACACCGGCCUGCCGUUGAAACUGGUCGUCUUGAGUGAGCGAGAAGUAUGCGGAAUGCGUGGUGUAGCGGUGAAAUGCAUAGAUAUCACGCAGAACUCCGAUUGCGAAGGCAGCAUACCGGCGCUCAACUGACGCUGAGGCACGAAAGCGUGGGGAUCGAACAGGAUUAGAUACCCGAGUAGUC
rnacentral:rRNA from 1 species